rnacentral:rRNA from 1 species
UACAGAGGGUGCAAGCGUUGUUCGGAAUUAUUGGGCGUAAAGGGCUCGUAGGCGGUUUGUCGCGUCGGGAGUGAAAACUCAGGGCUUAACCCUGAGCCUGCUUCCGAUACGGGCAGACUAGAGGUAUGCAGGGGAGAACGGAAUUCCUGGUGUAGCGGUGAAAUGCGCAGAUAUCAGGAGGAACACCGGUGGCGAAGGCGGGUCUCUGGGCCGUAACUGACGCUGAGGAGCGAAAGCAUGGGGAGCGAACAGG